rnacentral:tRNA from 1 species
GGGGUGGUGGCACAAUUGGCUAGUGUGUAGGUCUCAUAAUCCUAAUGUCAAGAGUUCAAACCUCUCUCACCCGA